rnacentral:sRNA from 1 species
GGAUGCAAAAGUCGUAACACGGUUUCCGUAGGUGAACCUGCGGAAGGAUCAUUCACACAAUUCGCACGCCUGGAACGCGCUGCUGGUUUUACAGGUUUCAAGCAUUCGCUUUGCCUGGGUGGCCAGCAGCAGGUAGUCCAGCAGCAGGUAGUCGUCGGUGUUGUUGGAAAGAAAAAUUUAGUCCAUCGCAACCCUUGAAUCUGUUUUUCUCUGCAACGGUUUUUCUACUUUUUAAAAAUUGAUGGAAUUUUUUGCUGCUGCAAGGAUAUAUAGCAGUAGUAUGUACGUGGGCGGUCGGGGGGGUGGUGGCGCAUGCACGGGCUCGCGUGGGGCCUGUCGGUGGCAGCCCCAGCGCGCCGGCGCCAGCCCCGUGAUCGUCGAUCGCGCACGUACGUGGAGGGGAUUAUGAGAGGAGAAGACGCGCACGGGGCUGUGUCGUAUGCAGAGCGCUCGCGGCUCGGGCGAUUGUUCCGUGUUGUGUGCUCUGCUGCAUGCUGGUGUGUGCGUUCUGUCUCUUUCUCUCUCCGUUACAUGCUGCUUGGAACUUUGCUUCAGCAAGAAACUUUUGCUCACUAAGGUGAAUCGAAUCACUUUUGUUGAUGAGCAGAAGGAAGAAUAGGUAGAAAUCGGAAAAAACUUUCAGCAAUGGAUGUCUUGGCUCACGCAUCGAUGAAGGACGCAGCGAAAUGCGAUACGCAUUGUGAAUUGCAGAUUUCAGUGAACCAUCAGAUUUCUGAACGCACAAGGCGCUGCUGGUAUUUUGCCCGCAGCACGUCUGUUUCAGUGUCUCUUAACAACUCCUACUAGUAGGCCAUGCUGCUGUCUGUUUCUGUUCCUUGUGGUCCUGUGAGGGUUCGGCGAUGCUGCCGACAGAAGUGAGUGGUUUGCUCGUUUCUGUUUUGUGUCGCGGAAUUUUUUCGGUUCACCAAAGGGGAGGUAGAAGCAUGUUUGGUUUCAUUUGAGUGUCGUUGCAUUGGUAUUGAAGGAGAUGCGGCGUCUCUCGAAAUUGUUGUCGGCAGCGGUGCUGUGUGUCUGCACAGUGUGCCGUUUUACAUGCCUGUGCUUUCUAUAGUGUCGUCGUAUGCUCCUUUCAUUCGGAAAGAGAGAGAUACGGUGGUUGUAUUUUAUGCAACAUUGUUUGUCUCAUUCUGGACGAAUGUUUUGAGCAGGGCUAGGGCGAGGUAUAAUAGUGCAUGGGUAUGCGACAACGUGAAACGACAUAUAGUACACGGCACCAUGGACGUGUUGCAUGCGUCGUUUUUUCUCGGUAUUACACAUGUAUGUAUAGACCUGAAAUCAGUCGAGGUUACCCGCUGAAUUUAAGCAUAUUAUUAAGCGGAGGA